AAAACAUUGGCGAUUAGAACCAAAGGUUGUAGCGACCCUUCAGAAUGCUAUAGACUAUUUCCCUCUGUAAGGAUAUGUUAUUAAAAGAUGCAGUGGGACAGGGCUGUUUUUUUCUUCUUGAAAUGAGGGGUUUUUUGUUGUUGCAGAAAGCAGCAGGCAAAUAGCACCCUAACUGAGCCAGUGUAAAGUCAGGAUUUCACUUCUUGCUCCUAUACCUGCGAUCAUCAAGUUUUGCAUACAGUGGUGCCUCGGUCCGCUAACCCAGAAAUAUUACCUCAGGUUAAGAACUUUGCUUCAGGAUGAGAAGAGAAAUUGUGUGGCGGCAGCGGGAGGCCCCCAUUAGCUAAAGUGGCACCUCAGGUUAAGAAGAGUUUCAGGUUAAGAACAGACCUCCAGAACGAAUUAUGUUCUUAACCCGAGGUACCACUGUACAGUGGAUGCUCGGGUUGCGAAUGUGAUCCGUGUGAGAGGCAAGUUCGCAACCCGCAGCGCCGCGUCUGCGCGAGUCUUGAUUCAGCUCUUCUGCGCAUGCGCAAAGCAUGAUUUAGCGCUUCUGCGCAUGCGUGAGCGCUGAAACCCGGAAGUAACCCGGGUAAUACCCGGAAGUAAUUCCUGGUUUGGCGCGGUGCGCAACCUGAAAACACGCAACCUGAAGCGUCUGUAACCCGAGGUAUGACUGUAUUAUGUACAUUGUUAUAUCGUUGAAUUGCAACCAGUAUUUUCAUGAUGGUUUUUAAUUGGGGGAAGCCAGUAAAGGGGCCAUGUUUUGCUUUAAAAGAUGAGUUUUUAAAAAACACGUCGGUUAAUUUCUCUCUCUGUUCCCAACCUGGUGCUCUCCAGAUGUUUAGGAUUGCAAAACACGACGACAGCAGCUCUUACUUGAGAGUAAGAUAUAUAUCUUUAUACAGGCUUCACAGGCUCUGUGAGAAGCACAAGAUGUCAUGAUUCCAAGUUACAUGACAAUGCAAGAGGUUCUGAUCCAAACGGAAGCUACAAAGCUGUCCCAACGGUUGACACAAAGUUUUACAGACAUGGGGAAAGCUCAGUCAUGAGACUCUCUCACCCUAUAGGACUGCUGCACAUGCAUCUAGGCAGAUGCUUCCGAUCCCACCGAUGGAGGUGAUGCCUGGUUCUUGACCACAGUAUUGUGCUCUGCAGGAGGGCCAGUGGAGCAAGUUGGCAGAUCUGAUUCCCCCUCCCCAAUAUCUAGAAUCCCAAGGGGAGGACCACCAUCCCUGGGUCCCAGCCUGCCAGACGCCCCCUGCUCCUGCUCCUUGCUCCUCUUCCAUCUGGGUCAAAACAUGCGAGAUCCUGAUGGAACCAAGGUGUCUGUGGUAGAAAACAUUCCUUGAUCUGUUUCUCCUGUGCGUUUUUCAGACGGUGUUCCUGUGUUCCUUGGAAGCUUAUCAGAGGAUCCCCACUUAGAAAAAGCAGUAAUCCGGAUGCAAUUAACGGACUAGGCAGAAUUAGAUAAAUUAACAGGAAGGAUUCGAAACCUGCGGGAGCAGAGAUUCUUAGAAGAUUGGAGUAAAUAUACAAACUAUCUGAAAAGUAAUUGUAAUGAACAGAUUACGCUAGUAGGACUGCAAGAAGUUUUGUAAGGAGGACUAUUUGAAAUAUUGCAAGAAAGACUAUAAGAAGAACUAUUGGUUAAUGAUAAUUAAGAGUAAUAGAGAAAUUAAGAAAUGCAGAAUAAGUGAUAAAGAACGAAAAAUCAUCAGAGG
rnacentral:lncRNA from 1 species